UACAGAGGCCAAGAGCGUUGUUCAGAUUUACUGGGCGUAAAGGGCGCGUAGGCGGCAAGGCGUGUCAAGUGUGUAAUCUCCGGGCCCAACCCGGAAAGUGCGCUUGAAGCUACCAUGCUUUGAGUCCGGGAGGGGGAAUCGGAAUACAGGGUGUAGCGGUGAAAUGCGUAGAUACCCUGUAGAACACCGGAGGCGAAGGCGGAUUCCUUGAACGGUACUGACGCUGAGGCGCGAAAGUCGGGGGAGCAAA
rnacentral:rRNA from 1 species